rnacentral:tRNA from 2 species
GCGCCCUUGGCCCAAUGGUUAAGGCAUCUGACUUCGAAUCAGGGGAUUGCGGGUUCGAGUCCCGUGGGGCGUU